rnacentral:rRNA from 1 species
AGAGUUUGAUCAUGGCUCAGAUUGAACGCUGGCGGCAGGCCUAACACAUGCAAGUCGAGCGGUAGCACAAGAGAGCUUGCUCUCUGGGUGACGAGCGGCGGACGGGUGAGUAAUGUCUGGGAAACUGCCUGAUGGAGGGGGAUAACUACUGGAAACGGUAGCUAAUACCGCAUAACGUCUUCGGACCAAAGUGGGGGACCUUCGGGCCUCACGCCAUCAGAUGUGCCCAGAUGGGAUUAGCUAGUAGGUGGGGUAAUGGCUCACCUAGGCGACGAUCCCUAGCUGGUCUGAGAGGAUGACCAGCCACACUGGAACUGAGACACGGUCCAGACUCCUACGGGAGGCAGCAGUGGGGAAUAUUGCACAAUGGGCGCAAGCCUGAUGCAGCUAUGCCGCGUGUGUGAAGAAGGCCUUCGGGUUGUAAAGCACUUUCAGCGAGGAGGAAGGGUAGUGUGUUAAUAGCACAUUGCAUUGACGUUACUCGCAGAAGAAGCACCGGCUAACUCCGUGCCAGCAGCCGCGGUAAUACGGAGGGUGCAAGCGUUAAUCGGAAUUACUGGGCGUAAAGCGCACGCAGGCGGUUUGUUAAGCCAGAUGUGAAAUCCCCGCGCUUAACGUGGGAACUGCAUUUGAAACUGGCAAGCUAGAGUCUUGUAGAGGGGGGUAGAAUUCCAGGUGUAGCGGUGAAAUGCGUAGAGAUCUGGAGGAAUACCGGUGGCGAAGGCGGCCCCCUGGACAAAGACUGACGCUCAGGUGCGAAAGCGUGGGGAGCAAACAGGAUUAGAUACCCCGGUAGU